rnacentral:lncRNA from 1 species
AAAAAAAAAAAAAAAAACUAGAGAAAAGGUUCGUCAUUGCAUUGUGGCUCUCGUUAUGCAUAGAGUUAGAGAAGGGCAACCCAAGUGGAUGAAUAGAUUUUAAUUAAACUUAGAUAAAUGGCCAAUCGUAAUUCGUAGUGAAUGACUCAAAAGUUGCUUGGUAAUUGAUGUGUUUUAUAUUAGUCGGUCAUUUUUCUUUUUACAUGUAUAUUAAAAAAUCAUAAAUAAGAAGGUGAUUUUACUAAUUCACCUCUUAAAAUAUUUUUUUGGGAAUCUUACAAACAAGUGUGAACACUUUAAAAAAGAAUUAAUUGUAAAUAUAAUGCGGAAAAAAAUUAUCUAAUAUUAAUAAAAUGACCAACUAAUAUGGAACAAGGGAGUGAAGUUUUUCUAAGGAUUGUCCUUAUUGUAGGACAGUUUUCUAAAGUCCUUAAAUAUGAUGGUCAUCUUUAAUUUUUGCAUUUAUUGGAGAUUUAAUACAAAUUUGUGGAUUAAAAUAUUUAAUUUUUCAAGCUUAAUUCACUCGUAUAAGUAUAGAUAAUUAAGUUAUGCUACACAAGUUGUAUGUGUAGUAUUUUCUUGAAUUUGUUAUAGUGUUCAGAAAUUGAAUAUACUUUUUGGGACGUCUAAAGUAAUGUCAUAGCUAAUACGGAUGGUAGAGUAUAUGGGAUCUAUGUAUUGUUUCUUUUUUUUCAAAAGAAUAUAUACAUUAUGCCCAUUUUCAAAAUCGCACAUAUUAGUUGGAGCUCUAGUGCACGUGACUUUUUUUUUUUAACACUAUACCCUCUCAUGUACAUAUAACAUAUUGUGCCUUUUAUGAUAUAACUAGUGGAGUACAUAAUUUAUGUCAUGAAAUAAAUUAUACUCCCUCAAUUGCAUUUCACCUGUCAUUAUUUCCUUUUCGAUUCGUCCAAAAAGGAAUGUCAUAUUUUCUUAUUUGGUAACUAUUUAAUGACUUCAUUUUAUUUUUUGUGAGUCCCACUUAUUAAACAAAAGACAAUUAAAAAGUAAAUAUCCCAUUAAAAUAACUUUAAGAGGGACAAUUUUAUAACUUUAUAAAGUCAUCACUUAUUUAUUAAAAUUCGUGUCCAGUCAAAUGACGACACAUAAAAUAGGAUGGAGAUAGUAUGUUAUUUUAAUAUUAAAAACACAACUUGCUAUGCUUUUUAUGACGUAAUUUGUGAGAUAUUAUAAUAAAAAAUAUAUAUAUUUAUGUUCUUAAAAAAUAUUUAUUAUUUGAAUAUCAUAUAUUUUCAGUUACUAUUUCAUUACUUAAAAUACUGAAGAACAAAAAUUAAAUACCACACAAAAUAGAAAUGUGCGAAUGACCCAUAACUAAUUGCAAAUGUUGACGAAUUAUCGUCGACAAAAUGGGAACACUGGAUAGCCAUAAAGUUUGAACUUUAUGAUAAAAUCGAAUACUAGUAGUAAAUAGUCAAACUUUUUUUUUUUUUUUAAUUCAUCCCAAAAUUAUACAUCCAUAUCCAAUCAUCAAAGGCAUGUUAUCUUCAACCUCUUUUGAUUAUCAAGUUGCACAAAAACACAAUUUUUUAUUUUAUUUUUCAUCCGGUAUCCGAUAUCCAUAUUGAAACUCGAUUAAUUUAGAUUCGCACCAGGUAGGACCCCAUUCGGGGAUAGCGCUUCCAACAUAGUUUUCUCGAUGCCCAGAGUCGAACCCUCGACCUCUAAUUAAAGGUGGAGCAGCCUCAUCCGCUACACCACAACCCAUAUUAGUAAAAAACACAAUUUUGACAAUAAGAAAAGUGGUUUGUAUUGUAUACCAAUAUAAUAUUGACACUUUGUUGGAAUUAAAUUCCUUUUUAGUGCAUUUAUAGCUUUCUGUUUAUUUAAUUAACUAAUUUUUGUUGAGAAAAUUAAGGUUGAAAUUCAUAGGACUAUAUUCCCCUGUUUCAAUAAUUUAUUUGUGUUACUUUUCCUUUUUAAUAAUCCAGUUUCUAAAAAUAUAUAGUAUAUUUUUUGAGUCAUAUAUUUUCUUUCUUUGACAACUCUUUAGUAAAUGACAUUUUGACAUAUUUGAUUUAUCUUUAAUUUUAUACUACAAGAUUCAAUACACUUUUUUAAUUUAUAUGCCAAUAUAAUACCAAGUUUUAUUUUAUUACGACACUUUAUUGGAAUUAAAUUCUUUUUUUAGUGCGUUUAUAGCUUUCUGUUUAUUAAUUAACUAAUUUCUGUUGAGGAAAUUAAGGUUGAAAAUUGAUGGGACUAUAUUCCCCUGUUUAAAUAAUUUAUUUAUGUUACUAUUCUUUUUUAAUAAUUUGGUUUUCUAAAUACUAUGUGUAGUAUUAGGUGUCUCGAGUCGGGGGUCUAUCGGAAACUGUCUUUCUACUUCUUUAGAGGUAGAGGUAUGGACUGUGUACAUCUUACCCUCCCCAGAUCCCACUAUGUGGGAAUACACUGGAUUUGUUGUUGUUGUUGUUGUUGUUGAUUUUCUAAAUACUAGAUGUAGAAGCCCGCGCUAGCGCAGGCCCAAUAAUUGUAACAUAGCUAUAAUUUAUAACCGUUAGUUAUAGCUUCACAGUUGAUAAUUCAGAGCCGUUGAGUCAAGAUUUCAUAUUUUUCUUAAUCAAUUAUCACAAUGUAGAGAUUAAAUGAUAAUAUGAACAAUCACUGUAAUAUGAAUGGUAAGUUAUCAUGUAGGUAAUCACUAAUAGUUGAAAAUAUUCAGACUUGAAUGGAAAGAAAUGUCAAAUUACCCUGUGGACAACAAAUGAUAGCAAAUAACAACAAAAACAUAUGCAAGGUAUUAGAGCAAUACUAUUUUCAAAGUUGUUGGUCUACAUUAAUAUUCUUCACCAUUUUUUUCGUUAUCAACUCCUUCAGCACCACUUGCUCGUAGUCUUUUUCAAGUGCAAGUAAAUCUUCAGGGGCUUCAGAAAACUCUACCUCUUCCAUGCCUUCUCCAACAUACCAGUGGACGAAUGCCUUUUGAAGCCAGUUGGGCAUUUGUUCAAAUCUCAAAAUCAAAAAAAUAAAAUCACACGGUUGCAUCCACAUUAAAAAAUUUUCUGUACUCUGUUCAGAUACAAGUAGCUCACGCUUGUUAUUGGUGCAAAAUCUUUACUAGUCAACAAAUUGAAUCGUCCACUACGUUAAUACGCCAUAUAUUUUCAAUGCGUUGGGUCACAUUUAGCCAUCAUGCUUGAGUGCUCAAAAACUGCAUUAAUUAUCUCAAGUACAGAUAAUUGCUCAUGGUAUGCGUUUUCAGCUGAGAUGACAGGGGUAUAUGAUAAAAGCAUAAUGGCUUUAUUGUAAACAUCACAACCAUAUCAAUGUGUUCUAAAAGGGAAUGGGUUGAAAGAACACUGUUAUAAGGUUCUGCAACAGUAAUGGAUACCUAAAAUUUAACAGACACAAAUAAUCUUGCUGUUACAAAUAAGAGAUGCAUGGUUAUAUAUGGUAUUCACCUGGGGAGAAGAGUAGAUAGUAAACACAAUGUUGGACUUUUUAUCAUAAUCAACAAAUAAGCAUUCCAGAACCAGUACCACCGCCAAUAGCAUUAAAGACCAAGAAUCAUUGCAAAGCAGUGCAGUUAUCAGCUAAUUUUCUAAUGCGAUCAAGGAAAAGAUAAACAAUCUCUUUGCUAACAUUAUAAUGUCCUUUGGCAAAAUUAUUAGCAGCAUCGUUCUUUCUAGAAAUGAGUUGUUCAGGAUAGAAAAGCUGACGAUAGACGGCAUUUCUAACUUCAUCAAUAACAGUUGGUUCAAGAUCAACAAAUAUAGUUGUUGAUACAUGCUUUCCAGCACCAGUUUCGACAUACAUGGUGUAUUCCAAGGUCGUAAAUGAUUCAUGAUCGUGAAUGGGGUGGUAAAACUGAGGUGGCGGACUUUCUAUAUAUAUCCAAAGUUUAAUAUAAUUCACAUGUCACGCGAACAUACUAAACAAUAGCUCCUAAAAAUCUCUCAACAUCUUUAAUUUUAACAUUCUACAUACAUUUUUAUGAUUACAAAAUUAAAGGACAUUUUGGUAUAUUCAUAUAUCUUUAAUUUAAGAUUUUCAAAUUCAAAAGCUCCUUUACUUUCUUAAGAUUUUGUAUCUGCAGCAUGCUAACAUUACCUAAGCUCAUUUUGAACCUCCUCUAUUGUUGAUCUUCGCGGAGAAGUUGUAUUACCAAUAGCAACUCCCAUGGAAUCAGCCUCAAAAUCGAUUAUAGGAUCAGAUUCCGCACCACAUCCAUGUAUGCGCACCUUAAAAGCUGAAGGAUCUUGCCCACCAUCAAUACAAGCUUGAUCAAAUUCCUUAGACAAAACAAUACUUAAAAGUCAUGCAUGAGCUAAAACACCAACAAGUAGUAACAAUUGAUAUUAGCACAUAGAGACAAAAGAAGAGGUAUACCCCUUUCAUGGAUAUGAUAAGGACUUGCAUAAAAAAUAUCUCUGGGUGAGAAGUCAGACAUAUUGCUCUAUUUUCGAUCAACUUGUACUGCAAAAUAACAAAACAACAGUAUCAGGUAGCGAAACAACUUCCAGAAAGCCACAUAAUUAAUAUUAAAGACCAAUUUUUGGGGAGCAACAGUGUUAAAACUAAAUUUAUUUUUAGCCCAGUUAGAUCAGAUAUAUAAAGCUUUAAAGUUGUAUAAGCUAAAAAAAUUGAGGUCGCCUGGUACUUAACAUUUAAUCUGACGUUCUUAUAUGUUGAGAGUUUGUUUAAACAAUGGCAACAUACCAAGUGUUAUCUAAUAUGAGGGAUAUGGAAAAGGUAGGAUAUAUGCAGACCUUACCUGUGUAGUAGAAAGCUUGUUUCCUUAGUUUCCCUGUAUCAAUCUACUUUUCUACGAUGCUGAAAUAUAGGAAAAGUUUUCAAAAAUAAGAAUUGAAGUAAUUACAGUAACAAGCAAUACUGAUCAAUGGGAAAAAGUAAAUUCAUCAUAUGUUUAUCAAGAUAUUCAUAUAACAUAGAUAAAGAGAUGCAGUUGGUAAAAGAGUACUAUGUUGAUUUCAUCAACCACAUAACUAUAUGAUCAUUAUACACAUAAUGUACAAUUUUAGGAGCAUGAGUUUCUAGCCUUCCUUAUACACAUAGUAAUAUGAAGAAUUGGUGCUCCAUAGAGAAGAUUCAACUGCAAACCUCCUACAUAAUUGGCUAAUCUGAAGGUUGAAGAAACAUAUGCUCUUUCUUUUCAAUGUGUUUGUUGUAAGAAAAGGAAAAAGAUACCACUUAGCCGAUAUUUACUAAUGAUUUCUAGUGGUAUAGACAUACAUUUUGCGCAAAACAAUGUCCAAAAUCUUGAAUAGUUACAGUUGUGCUUGAGCAAUUCUUAUUUUGAAACUAAAUUAUUGAUGUGAAUAGAUUAUCAAUUGCCACCCAAAUAUAGUGAAUCACAUCAAAAUAACAUGGUGUUAAUCUUACAAAACUUCCUGGAUGGCUACAAAAGCCAUCGACCAAGUGAUAUGUUUGACAAAACUCAUGUUUUUAUCUAAGAAAUAAGAAUCAAGAAAACAUUCAGAAAGUUCAUCAAUAAAAAACAAUCAGAGAUUACCGUUCAUUGUGAUUAAUUUAAUCUGUUUGAAUUGCUUCGCAUAUGCAAAUUAAUUUUCUAGUGAAGUCGACUAUUUGUCCCCUUUGCCAAAAGUUAAUAACCUGUAAACCGAACAAAAAUAAAAAAUAUGGCUAAGAUAAAUUUGUAAGUAGUACGAAUAUCUUUGUUAAAAAAAAAUAAAGAUUAAGCAGUAAUUAACAUCCAAUUAGCUAAAGAGAAACUAUUAAACUACCAUACCCCAAAAAUAAAAAAGGAAAAAAGUAGAUAACAGAUUCCAUAACAACAAAAAUAUAAAAUUCAUAGAACAAAAAUAUCAAGGUAACAAUCAAGUUAAGAAUCAAGCAACUGUAAGAAGAAAUUGAGAACAAUACAAUUGUAAAAAGAGAAAGAGACGAUGGACAAAGUGGACAUAGAUGUCAAAACUUGUUGGUAACAAUGACAAGCCCCGCUUCAUGUGCGUUCUUAUCUCAAGCAGCAUAGUCGGCAAAUGUUAAGACACGUGUAAACUUGUACAAAUGUCAUCUAAUAGUUAAGAAUACAGUAGCUAGUGAAAGGACUGAAAUGCCCCUUACCACUAAGCUGGCAGGACGACCAUGAGGUGAUAAUUAAUUAUAUUUUAAAUAUUUUUAGAUAUUUUAAGUUGUUAGCUAUUGUAAUUUAUAAUAGUUUUUGACAUUGUAAUUUACUAUUUUAAGUUGUUAGCCAUUAUAAUUUAUAACUCUCCUUGUCCAAAGUUUUGUAGCAUUGAUAGUCUAUUAUAUUUUUAGAAUAAUUUAAGUUUUUAAUUACUGAAAUUUAUAAUAUUGUUUCUUCUAUUUCAAUUUAAGUGACACUGAUAUAAUUUCGAGAGUCAAUCAAAUAUCACGAUUGAAGUCCCAAAGUAGACACAACUUAAAUGACUCAUAAUAACUUAUUAGAAGCAAUACAAUAAAAUUACUAUAAAAAAUAAUUGUGAAAAAAAAUUAAGCGGGCCUCAUAUAAGAUGUCAAGUUAAUUUAAAAUAUCAAUAAUUAAUUUAUCUUUUUUUAUUAAAUAUUUUUUUAAUAUUUAGAUGAAUCAUAAUAAUUAAUUAGGGAUAAAAUAGUAAAAUUACGGUUGAAACAACUGAAGCAAACAUGUCAUAAACGUCUAUUUUACUUUUUUUUAAUCAAAUAUUAUUAAUUUUUUAAUACGUAAAUGACAUAUAAUAAUCAAUUAGGAAAUAACUUAUUAGAAGUGGUAUAACAAAAUUAAUAUAAAAAAUAGUUGUGAAAAAAAUUUAGACAGACCUUAUAUAAGAUGUCAAGUUAAUUUAAAACUUCAAUAGUUUGUUUAUCAUUUUUUUAUUUAUUUUAUCCUUUUUAUUAAAUAUUAUUAAUUUUUUUAAUACUUAAAUGACUUAUAGUAAUUGAUUAGGGAUGAAAUAAUAAAAUUACGGUUGAAGCAACUGAAGCAGGCAUGUCAUAAAUGUGUAUUUUAUUUUUUGUUAAAUAUUAUUAAUUUUAGUACUUAAAUGACAUAUAAUAAUUAAUUAGGGGUGAUAUAGUAAAAUUACGGAUUAAUACUUAAAUGAUCUAUAGUAAUUAAUUAGGGAUGAAAUUGAAGCAGAUGAAGCAGACAUGUCAUAAAUGUCUAUUUUAUAUUUUUGUUAAAUAUUAUUAAUUUUUUAAUACCUAAAUGACAUAUAAUAAUUAAUUAGGGAUGAUAUGAUAAAAUCAUAGAGUAAGCAAGCAUGACAACCGCCUCAUCCUUCUAAGCCUCUUCUUAUAUUUGUUAAAUAUUAUUAAUUUUUUUACUACCUAAAUGACAUAUAAUAAUUAAUUAGGGAUGAUAUGAUAAAAUCACGGAGGAAGCAGGCAUGACGACCGCCUCUUGCUUCCAAGCCUCUUCUAUAUAUUGGAAUAUAUAUAUUUUCUGAGUCAUAUAUUUUCUUCUUUGACAACUCUUUAUUAAUCAUUUUAGUACAUUCGAUAUAUCUUUGGUUUUACAAUUAAAGGGUGUUUGAGAGUGCUUAUAAGUUGGUCAAAACAACUUAUAAGCACUUUUUUGCUUAUAUUGGUGUUUGACAAAAUUUUAAGUUGUUUAAAAUAAGUUGAUUUUAGUUUUUUUUUUUAAGCUAAAAUCAAUAAGCAGCCUAAUAGGUGUUUAUUUUUUCAGAAUUUUAAGUUGACUAACAAAAUUAUCAUCUCGUCCCUUACAAUUAUGAGUUAUUCCAGUUUUACCCUUGCCGUAAUUCUCCUUUUCUUACCUUCAGCACACGUUCAAUUCCGCACUUUCAUUUCUCUGAGAAAAAACCAACGCUGCUCCUCAACACCACAUACUUUGUUCUAGAUUGUCUCUUAAAUUGUUGCAUUUCCUUCAAGAUUAGUAACAUAUAUAUUUUGCUUAAUGAUAAGCUCAACAUAUAUAUUAAUAUUAUCUUGGAAGGUUAAACACAACAAGUUCAGUUUAAUAAGAAAAUGAAAGUGUCGUAAAUUGCACCUUAAUGAUACGAAACAAUCUUUUCAAAGAGUCUCAUUUCAAUCUCUUAAAAAAAAAUAUUUUUAGCGCACAAAUUAGUCAUUCAUGAUUUUUUUUUAAUAUAUAUAUUAAUUUUAAUUUUAAUCAUUUUAGCAAUGAAAAUUAAUAAUAAUCAACUCUAUAUAUUAUUAACAUAUCAUUUUAAAAAAAAAGUGCUUAAAAGUAUUAUUUACCAAACACAUCAAUAACGUUUUUUCAAUUUCAGCACUUUUUAACAAACACUUAACUAUUUAUUUUUAAAAUAAGUUCAGCACUUUAAUUUCUUAAAUUUCUCGUCAAAUAAAUUAAAACUUAAUAACAUAAAAAUUCAAUAUAUAUGAUUUGUACCAAUCAUAAGUGGACUUAUCAUCAACUCAAUAAAAUAUAAUUCCCAUAUUCAGUUACCUGCCAAUCAAAAACGUGAUCGCUUCUACAGUGACAGUACUUUCACCUGACUCAAUCAUAUCAACCGUAGAUCUGAAUCUUGUUUUUCCAAUCUACGUCUCUUACAGUUCCUGUUGUUACUAUAAAUCAAUUUACAUGUAACUGUAACACGUCUGAAAUUUCAAAAUUUUCCAAUUUUCCAUUUUUUCGGAAUAUUCUUGGAAUUAUUGGUAAAUCCACGGCAACGAAUAUCCAAAAAAUUCAUAUAUAUAUAUAUANNNNNNNNNNNNNNNNNNNNNNNNNNNNNNNNNNNNNNNNNNNNNNNNNNNNNNNUAUAAUUCAAUAUUGUGUAGUACUCAUUUGCUAAACGGAAGAGAAAGAAGAGAACAGUUUCCAUGGUUUCACCAAGUAAGCAUUACAAAUCCCAAAUAGCAAUUCUUGAAAAAAUUGGACUUUUUUUUUUUAAUUUUGGAAAGUUUUGGAUUUAUUUGUUGUAUUUAAUAAGCAACCCGCUGCAUUAAAGCUUUUGUUUUGCGCGGGGAUUUGUUGUAUUUAGUAUUGGAAUGAAAUCUAGUGGAGUGGAUUUAGUUUUGAUAUAUGGUUUACCCUCAGCUAGUUGGGAAUUAAUGUGUAUAUGGUAGGAGUAAAAUUUUAAAUUUUUUCCUAAGAUUGUCAUUAGGGACGCGGUAGUGGUAAGGUCUGCGUACGCUCUAUCCUCCCAAACCCCACUGGUGGGAUGUGGGAUUUCACUGGCUAGCCAGUUGUUGUUGUUCUAAGAUUGUCAUUUGGUUCUUGAAAAAUUGUGUUUUCAGCUUAGAUUUUGUAUAUCUACGACCCCUUUUAUGUAUAUAGCUGCUGUAUUAAGUGGAAUCAUUUGAAAGAUUGUUUUUUUAAUGGGUUUUAAGUUCUUCGUGGGGUCAAAUCUUGGAUUAAUAAACUAAUCCCUGUGUUCCAAAGUGCACUGAGUUAGUUAAGUUGGACCAAAUUCAAUAUGUUGCUGCUAUAAAAAGAAGGGCAGCCCGGUACUAAAGCUCCGCUAUGUGUGGGGUCCAGGGAAGGACCGAACCAAACCACAAGGCUCUAUUGUACAUAGCCUUACCUUGCUUUUCUACAAGAGGCUGUUUUCACGGCUUGAACCCGUGAUCUCCUGGUCACAUUGCUGUUAUUAAGUUACUAAUCAAAUCAUUUAUUAAUAGGUUAAGUAAUGUACUGUAGUAAUAGUUUUUUAGUAAUUAAAUUGUUUAUUCUUUUUCGGGACUGCUUUGGACUGUUUUUUCUUGAGCUGGGGGAUCUGUUGGAAACAACCUCUCUACCUCUGUGAUAGAGGUAAGGUCUGAACACUCUACACUCUCCAAACCCCACUUUGUGGCUCUACAAUGGGUAUGUUGUUGUUGUACUGUGGCAAUAGGUUGCAGAAAUCUGCAUUUGAUACAUAUCUGCAUAAUUUACUUUGAGUAAAUGGGAGGGUUGAAAAGUUCGUCAAGAGCUUAUCUGUGAGCUUUGUCUGGUACUCUUGACAAUUAAAAUUCUUGUCCAAGCUUUUCCCAGAUAAGCACGCAUUAUAUGCAGCGUCUUUGCAUUUAUUUGAUAUCUAAUUGACUUGUGAUACCAUAAAAUUAUCUAUUAUGGGGAGGAGGUGUACUGAUAAAAGAUACAAGAAAAGAAAGACAUAAGUUAAAAUUUGGUGUGUCUCAUUAAUACAUGACAGGUUUACACCUUGAAAUCGGUUGGUAACUCUUAAAUAUUUUACAUGCUAAGUUGGGGUUACUGAAUUCAGUUCUUGAAUUACUUUGUAGGUCAAUCUGGCCCCAUAAAACCGCAGAGAGAUGUUAGCAAUCGCAUUAGUACUAAAUAGUUUUGUAGGGUCUCUGUUUCCCCAUUAAUACCAUGUGAUGUUAGGUGAAUUUGUAGUCUCCUUUGUUUGCCAACCACAGAAUCCCAAAUGAUAUUAACUGGACUGGAAGCUUUUGUUUGUUCGUGCUUUUUGAAUACUCCAAAGCACUGUAUUGGAAUCAGUCUAUGUAGGUAAACAUUGUAUAAGCUUUGAACUCAGUCUGUCUAGGUAAACAUUAUACAAGCUUUGAAAUCAGUCUAAGUAGACAUUAUAUAAGUUUUGAACUUACUUCUCUUCUUUAAAGUGAAUGUCAUGGUGUGACAUGACACAAUUUCUAAAGGUAAACUUGGAGAUGCGUGUUAGUUGAAUUGAAAUCAGUCUAUGUAGGCAAACAUUGUAUAAGCUUUGAACUCAGUCUGUCUAGGUAAACAUUAUAUAAGCUUUGAAAUCAGUCUAAGUAAACAUUAUAUAAGCUUUGAACUUACCACUCUACUUUAAAGUGAAUGUUAUGGUGUGACAUAUCUUAUCAAAAAAAAAAAAAUGUCAUGGUGUGACAUGACACGAUUUAUAAAGGUAAACUUGGAGAUGCAUGUUAGUUAGUAUUAAUUGGUAAGAGAAGUAAGACUAGUUUUUGAAUUUGGAAAAUCCUGCUCAACUUUUUUGUGUAUCAUAUUCAAUGAGAUGUGAAAUGUUAAAACAUUUUGUUUGCACUUAUAGAAUAUAAACAUGGAUGUUGAGGAUUCAUAUGUUGACCCCAACUAAUUUAAAAUUAAUGCAUUGGUGUUGUUGUAGAUUAUAGAAUUUAUAUUUCGGAUCAGCUCAAAAGAAGGAAUUUUCUCUCCAAAUCGAAAAAGGAGCACUGUUAGUUUUAUUUAGAUAGAGUCGAAAGUACUGCCAGACAUGUCAAUUGCUUUAAUGCAGUAUUGUGCAUCAUAUAAUGAUGGUGCAUAAUAUAACGGGUUCAACUCAUUCCAAUUAGUCAACCAAAUAUCACGGAAGGCAUAUAAAGGAUUAGCGUAGGCAACCCAACUAGCAUGUGAUUGAAGGUAAUUGAUUCAUAGAAUUAGUGAACCAAAUAAGGGUCACCAAAAAAUUCCUAUUAUAGGUAAAUCUUAUUUUUCAUUAUUGAUUUCCAGAAUAAGAAUUAAUGUAAACCUAGCACUUAGUCCAAAGUUUAGAAGGAUACCCAUUUCAAACUAGGCUAUAAACAUUGGGUUGAACUUGUUAUGAUAUAUUUGGCUAACCUGCACUGCAAGCACUAUUCCGUUGUGCAUUGGCUGAAUAAAUCGCUGACUGUACAUUCUUCGCAUAUUUGUCAUGCUGCUUGUUGCUAAAGAAUGUGAAUUUGACGUAGCUGUUGAGUAGUCCUAGUUUAGGACCUAGGCACAGUGGCUGUUGUGUUAGUACUACUGCUUGCUUAGUUUACAGAGUUUUCAAUGUUUAAGAUUGAAAUGUAAGAUGUUAUAACUUUUCUCAAGUUACUAUAAAUUUGUUUAUCAGAAUUGAUCAAUUGCUGAUGUCAAGUGCACGCAUUCAUGUAUAUAUUGGUCUCUAACCAUAUAUGCACCAUCAUGGUUAUCAAAAACAACUUCUCUAUCUCACCUCUAAGGUAGUGGUAUGGACUGAGUACACUUACCCUCCCCAGACCCCACUUUGUGGGAAUAUACUGGGUAUGUUGUUGUAACCAUACAUGCACCAUCAUAUAUACCAUGCGGUCACGUGUGAAACCAUUGACCGUAGAUAGACAAGCAUAGAUAACGUUUAUAAUCGACUCUGUGCAUGUACAGAAUGUUUACCUCUUUCUCAUUGUACUUUACAGGUGUGAUCCCUUAUAUCUUUCUGUUACUUCUUGUUGGAUGCUCGGCCAGACCUCUCUAUCCACUACCUGGAAGAAGAAAUGAUAGGAAUAAACAGCCUUUACAAACAUUUCGAGCUUACAACAUCGCACACCGAGGUUCAAAUGGAGAAGUUCCUGAAGAAACUGCAGCAGCAUACAUGGUACGUCUGCAACAAAAUCGUCUAAGUAGAAAAUAGGAAUUGGGUUUAGUAUCCAAUGAAAUGGCUUCAGUUAAGGCCAUAUGUGGCCGGCCACAUGGUUGAUACUUAAAUUGUUUAUAGGGGGGAAGUCUUUUUGCUGUUUUGUAAUAUCACCUUUCUGCUUGCAAUAACUGAUGCUGUAAUAGAAACAAACAUGCUGUUUCUUUAGAUAAACUGCAAAACAUGCUCCUGAAACUCUAGUACUAUGCAGAGAGCUAUUGAAGAGGGUACAGAUUUCAUCGAAACAGAUAUUUUAGCAUCUAAAGAUGGCGCUCUUAUAUGCUUCCAUGAUGUCAUCCUUGAUGAUACAACUGAUAUAGCAAAUCACAAGGAGUUUGCUGAUCGAAAGAGGACCUAUGAAGUUCAAGGGGUCAACAUUACUGGAUAUUUUCUGGGUAUGGAUGUUAUUAUUUCACUUGUGCUAACUUCUAUUGUUUUCCUGUCAAUAAUAGAUUAUGUCGUUCUGUUGUCAUUUAGUGUUAGAUUUAUUUUGCCCAUGUGUAUAAGCAAAUGUAAAUUUUAUGUACUUCUAAGUGUUACACUAUCUCCUUACUGAUAUAAUAUAUAUCAUUACCUCAUCUCUUAGUAAUUUCUUGUACUAAUAUGCAGUUGAUUUCACCCUUCAAGAAUUGAAGCUUCUGCGCGUAAAGCAGAGAUAUCCUUUCAGAGAUCAGCAAUAUAAUGGUUAGUUUUCUAAAUGUUCCUGUAAACACAAAACAAGAUAAGGAAAUUUAUGCUAUCUGAAAUGUAACAUGAGCCAAAAAUGCUUCUUUUGAUUAACUUUGCCCAACAAUUAGACAUGCAUGCUUCUGCUAUAAUUCUAUAUGAGGGUACUUUUUUCAGAAAAACACAUCUCAUUGCCAAUAUUUCUCGGUGUCUUUAUUUUUCAAUUAACAUGCAGGACAAUUUUCUAUUAUUACUUUUGAGGAGUUCAUCUCAAUUGCUUUGGAUGCUCAUAGAGUUGUUGGAAUAUAUCCAGAGAUAAAAAAUCCAGUCCUUAUCAACCAACACGUGAGUUCAUUCCUUUCUGCUACAAUAUAGGGGAAACUGAUUUUUAUUGCAGAGUAUGUUUUGCUGGAAAAUCUGUUGGUAUCCUUAUGUGUUUUUCUCAGUUUUAAAACUGAUAUCCUUAUGAAUACUUUCAGUUAUCUUAUACAUUAACUGUUGGUUCCAACAGGUCAAAUGGCCAGGUGGUAAGAAAUUCGAGGACAAGUUUGUUGAGACACUAAAGAAGUAUGGAUACAAAGGUUCAUAUAUGUCGAAGCAAUGGUUAAAGCAGCCUGCAUUCAUUCAAUCUUUUGCACCAACAUCGUUAAUUUAUAUAUCAAAUCAGACAGACUUGCCUAAGAUCUUCCUCAUUGAUGACACGAAUAUGCCAACUCAAGACACCAAUCAGGUUUUCACUCCCCCACACCUAGCUAGCACUGUAUGUGACAGAAGAAAUUGACCAUCUUUAUAUGGAAAAUGCUAAAUUCCAAAAAGAAAAAAAGAAACUUUUACCCACAAUUUAGAUUCAUAUACAAAAAGGAAACCCAAACUUUUAGGACUUUAUCAAAGUGUCAACUACAUCUGCAGUCUAUAGGCAGACUUGGUAAAGAUUUGUAAAAAGCAUGUAAUAUUAAGAUUCUUGCGUAAAAUUUUACAGGAUUAACAACUACACUUUACAAGCUUGAUAAAAAUGAGAAACUGAGUCUUUGCUGAUUAAGAAAUGAACCUACAUUCACAUGUAUAGGAAUAUAGUUUUGCUGGAAAUAUUCCCUAGAGAAAUCUGUUUGUCAAACCGUUUUUGCUGUUGCUUAGAAAAUUAGUGAUCCUUUUUCACAUUUCAGUCAUACUGGGAGAUCACGUCAGAUGGUUAUCUUGACUAUAUCAAGGAAUAUGUGGUGGGGAUUGGGCCUUGGAAGGACACCAUAGUUCCUUGUUCCAACAAUUAUCUGCAAACACCUUCUGAUCUCGUCGCAAGAGCACAUGCCCGUAAUCUACAGGUAUGUGAUCAAUCAUUGUUUCUGGGAUAUCAUCGACAUGUGAAGUUAUUGGUGAUUUGAUAUUUCCCUCCACUGAUCUCUGUUCCGCAGUUAUUAAUUUGAUUGUGCAUUAAGAUUAUAUUACUUUUAAUUGAAGGGAAAGAAAAUGCCUAUAUUUCAUAUUUAGUGUUUUGAAUUGGCAUGCUAUGUACUUUUUUUAACUUAAUGAAUUGCUGAGUUCAUUCUGUUUUAAGUUUGCGGGGUGCUGGGUUGCCUCUAGUUGGUGAGUGUCUGCCUCUAAGUGCCAGGGUUGUCAUUUUUACAUCUAAUUCUCAGAGAGGCUAGUGAGUCACUAUGCAUUAAUGGGCGGUGUUUGGGUUUGCUGUUGCCUUCUAUAAUAGAUCCCCUGCCAUCUUUCUGCAUUCCAUUUUAUGCACGCCUCUUCUUAAAAUUGUCGACUCUCCAUUAACAAGUGCCUUCUGAAUUAUUGAGUUUCCAAAGAAACUGAAACCUUGUAUUAUACCGAUCUCAUGGGUAGAAGUGGUCUUUCUUUUUCUCUUUUUUUGUGCAAUUCAUCUUAAUUUCAUACACAUUCAUCCUCUGAAUUUCAAUAACAAAUCCAGGUUCAUCCAUACACUUUCCGGAAUGAGAACAAAUACCUACACUUCAACUUCAGUGAAGAUCCAUACAAUGAGUAUGACUACUGGAUAAACAAGAUAGGAGUUGAUGGACUCUUCACAGACUUCACAGGUAGCCUUCACCAAUAUCAGGAAUGGACCAAACCAUUUGCAUCUGGAGACAAAGAAGCAACAAGGCUUCUGCAUAAGAUUGAAGCGAUGCUUUCCAAGUUCAAAUACACCACCUGAGUUAAAAUUGUAUUUUUCAUUGUCUGAUCACGGCUAUGCUAUUUAUUGGUCUGUAUAUAUCAUCGGUUUUCCAAUUUAUAUUUACCCGAGUUAAAACAGAUUUCAAUAUAUUAUAACUGGUGCAAUAACACUCUUGAAUCUCCAGGCUAUUGUUUUAUACAAGAAAUUCCCACCUUGCGAUGGGCAUUUGCCAAGCUUCUUUACAUAUUGUGCUUCUUGGGUUUUAACAUCUACCUUGAGCACUGUUUUACGAAAAAAGAUGGCUAACUCACUAUACUCUGGAGUUUGAUCCUGGAAAAAUAACAAAAAGCAACAAUUAAAGCUGCACGCUAUUGACUAUUCAGCUAACUACUAUGGAUUCUGCACUUUAUGUUAGUAAGGUAUCCAUGUACAAUAAACCAGAUCAAUAUCUAACAGGGUAGUUGUUAAGUUUAGCAAGAACACAGGCCCAUUUUGCUUGCUUCUGCCCCAUAAUAUGAACUAGUAGAACUGUUUCCUUUGGUCUGUCUUUGCACUGUCUUCUUGCUUGCUUAAGAUCUUCUAUUGUUCCUCUCAGUCCACACAUAAUAGAUCACAGCAGAAAAUACCCAAGCAUUGAAGUGUUGCCUCUGGUAGCAUGUAAUACAAAGGAUCUCCCUAGUAACCAAUUUGUUUAUGUAUUCCAAGACCUAAGUUGCUCGGACUGUUCAAAAAUGUCUACAGGUACGUGUCGGAUCCUCCAAAAAUAGUGUAUUUUUGAAGGAUCCGACACGGAUACGGCAACAUUUUUGAAGAGUCAGAGCAACUUGAAUCAGUUCAUCAAUGGUUUUCACAGAUAUACAGAUUGCUUUGCCAUGCUGUGUAUAACAUUUUGUCAUGAUUUCCUCCAUACUUUGAUCUGCUUUUCUUAUUUGAGCGAGUCCGGAAGUGACUUUGAAGAAUUUUGACCAACAACUUUCAUUCCAAUGAAAGAUCCUCAAGCAAUUGCAAAAAAUUUGGAGAAGCAUAAUACAUAAACGCAUUCUUUGACUUCACGUUAACAUUUAUAUCCUCCAACUUUGUGCAUGCACAAGUAACCACAAGCAUCUUACCCUGCGUAGUUCUUUAAAUCUCACUGUCUUAAAUUUUGUCAAAUAGUAGGAUGUUAAAAUUAAAUAAAAUUACUAAAUAUAAAAAUAGACACUCCUUUUGAAUCCGAUCAAGAAGAAAUUUAAGUAAUUCAUCCAUUUCAUGCUAAAAAUAAUUAUUUUAGUUUAUUGUCUACUUUAUGAAAUCGAGAAAAUUAUUAUUGUAUUUUCCACUUACACCCUUAAUAUUAACAAUUAUAAUAAAGUUUUGACACAAUAUAUAAACAUACUUUUUAACUUGAUCGAAAAUCAUAUAGCCAGUUAAACUUAAAUAAAGUUGAACAACUAAAUACAUAUGUCCCAUGUGAUAUCUUACACGGUAAGUUUUUAUCUAACAUAAUAUUUUACGUGUAUUAUAGCAAACAUAUAUAUCUACUUGUUUAAAUUUAACGUGGACAAGUAAUAUAAAACGAGAGAGUAUUUAAGGAGAGAGGGAGGGUAAAAAACGGCCGGUUCAUCAAUUACAUCUUGCGCAAGAAACCGGUAACGAGCUCAAAAAAACCCACUGAGGGAGAAGACGAAUCAAUCGGGCGAAACAAACCAAAAACCAAAAAUGCUGUUUGAAUCGCCUCGGCUUACCAAUGCUCUCAGAGAACCAUUCGACGCCGAUCAAGCUUACCUUCACCGCAAAACCAUUCUACAAAAUCUCAACUCUCGCAGGUACCAGUUAAUCGCAUCUUCAACUAAUCAAAUUUCACAUCUGUUGAUAUAAUUUUUAUUUUUUUUUGGUGUGUUUUUUCAGUAGUGCAACUUCACUUGAAGAAUCAGAACUUGCUCGAAAGAUUGUCUAUAAAUGGGACCAAGGUAAUAUAUUACUAUUACUCCGAGUGAAUUGGUGAAGUUGUUGUCGUGUGACCACGAGGUCACGGUUUCAAGCCCAAGGCUGUGUACAAUAAAUCAUUGUGGUUAGGGCGGUCCCUUGACUCACCGUAUUUUCAAUGGAGUUUCCACAAUUUUCAAUUUUCGGUUGAAUAUACUUUAAGAAUAUUUGAGAUAAAUGGAAAUAUGUUUGAAUUCAGUUAGUGGAUUCAUAGUGUGGUGGUCAAUGAAGUGCGUUGAGAAUCAUGACUUCUCAGGUUCAAAUUGUAGCAGAGAUAAAAGACAAUAGGUGAUGUCCUUUCAUGUGUCCUAACCUUGGUGGAUAGAGGUAUCAAGGUCCCUGUUGCUGGGCGGACCUCGUACUUGAUACCUGUUGCUAGUGGUAGGUGGCAAGUAUCCUAUGGAAAUAGUCGAGGUGCACAAAAGCUGGCCCAGACAGCACCACUAACAUACCAAGUGUAUUCCCUGAAAGUGGGGUGUGGGGAGGGUAGAGUGUACGAUGUUUGUAACUCUACCUGGGUGUGAGGUAGAGAGGUCGUUUCCGAUAAACACCAUAGUUAUUUGAAAAAAGGAAAAAAAGAGUAGUCAAGUUAUGAUGUUGUUGUUCCUUUAGAGGAUUCAUAUAAUCACCCCAACUAGUUUAUUAUUGAAUGGAAAUGUGUUGAAAUCCUUUUAUGCCCCAUUUUUAUUAGCACUGCUUAAUGAAGUGUUUUAUAAUUGGUGCAGCUUCUCCUGAGUUGCGGCAAGCAUAUAAGCAGUUUAUUAGCGCGGUGGUUGAGUUGAUGAAGGGUGAGAUAGUGUCAGAGGAGUUUAGGGAGGUGGCAUUCAGUGUGUAUAGGCUUUUCAGUGGGACAAUGGUGGAGGGUGAGGAACACAGGCUUAUUGCUGAGAAGAAGUAAACACACAAUUUCUUGAUAUAUUGCUUGAAGAAAAUAUUUUGCUCCUUGUUUUGUUUUUGGUUAUUCAUAGUUAUGGUAUUUACUAAUCUUUAGAAUAAAUGAAGAUCAGUUGGGGUUGGAGUAAUGAACCAUUUAUGUCGUAUUGAUAUGCUUUUAACGCGAGAAACAAAAGGAGACUGUUUGCUAGUAAAAGGAAUAGGUGCAUGGUGAACGACGCCUUAGCUUCUUAGCAGGGUCUUUUAGUCUCUUUUUUCAUCCCCUUUCCCAAGUACGUGAAUUUUGUAAGCUAUGAUAAAAUAUCAUUCGGACUGCUUGCUCUAUCAUCUCUUAUUGUAGUAUUUUAAUCCACUCGCAGUUGGUUUGUGUUCCUUUUGUUACUUUUUAUUUGCAAACCUAAUCACCAAAAUAAAGGAGAAAAAGAUAAUUGCUAGUAUCAGGGCGAAGGAGUUCUCGUGUUAGGUCCACUUAUAUAGGAUUCCGCUGGGUUCAGAAGCACCGUGAACAUUUAGUUUUUUUGCAGAAGGAUCUAACUAGAAUCUUCCAUCUGAUUUGACAUUUUAUCCCAUUGAUUGUUCCCUGUGUAUUAGAGACAUAAAUCGUCCAAAGCUCAAUCACAUUAUAUUUCAUUGAGUGCUUGAUACAACAACAUACCCAGUAUAUUCCCACCAAGUGGGGUCUGGGAGGGUAAGUGUACGCAGUCCAUACCACUACCUCAAAUGUGAGAUAGAGAGGCUGUUUCCGAUAGACCCCCGGCUCAAUCAUUGAGUGCUUGAUACCUUACAAAAUAUUCUCUAUGUUGGACCUUUUUAAUUGUUAGACAAAAAGAUCAGCCACUGGUGGAAUGUUCUUGAUGGCCGUAUUGAUGUAUUUCAUACCCAGCAGUCAAAGUUUUUCAGUCUUUAAUUGCUGAAAUGUUUGUUAUUUCUUGAAACCUCUUAUCUUAACAAGUUGAAAAAUUCAUUCUAGAACUCAGCUUGCUUCUUAUACUUUUCUCAUCCUAUUGCCAACUAAGGUAAUUGUAAGUAAAGAAUGUAUGACUAACAUUUGUUGUGCGCAAAGCGUUGAUGUUCCUUAUCAACAUAUUAAUUUGCAUUAAGUUGAAAAAGAAUAUAGGAAUACUGAUAGACAUGCAAAAUAAGUGGCGAAUAGUUAAGACCCGAAGAUCAGAUACUAGGUUUAUUUUUUUCUUUCCUUUGAAUACUUUGUGAAUGUCCGUAUGCCGAGAAAGUUUCUUUGAACUGCUACUCUACUAAGUCGGUCUUUUUAUUUUGAAUGCAGGCUAGAUUUGCAAAAACUUGUUGGCUAUGCAGUUUCAGAUUCAUUACUAUCAAGAAUUGCCUCUUUAGCACAAAGAUUGUAUGAAUUGCAGAAUUAUCACCCUGGAAUUGAGACCGCCCCUUUACCAGAAAUGUCUAAUGGAACCACUGAUGAAGUGGAGUUUGGAUCGGACCUUGUGUUCAGACCGCCAGCUCGUUUCUUAAUUGAUGUUUCAUUGGAAGAUUCAGAUUUUUCUGUUGAGCAGGAUAGUGCAGCUUCUUCAAGUCACGAAUCACAGUAUGAUCAUGGCGCCUUCUCAAAUUAUAGAGAAUCUGUAUCUGGUGGAAAAUUUGAUUUAAGCUGGGUAAGAGAUGCCUGUGAUAAGAUAGUUGGAGGAAGUAAUUCACAGCUUCCUCGAGAUGAACUGGCAAUGGCCAUAUGCCGCGUACUUGAUUCUGAGAAACCAGGGGAUGAGGUAACAAUAUGUCACUCUCACUUCAUAGUUCUGCUGGAUGCUUUAACCACAUCUUCUGGCACAUCAGUUCAGUAAACAUCUAAUAUGUUUUGAUGAUCUUUAUUUUUUUUAAUUCAGAUAGCUGGCGAUUUGCUUGACCUUGUUGGUGAUGGUGCAUUUGAAACAGUUCAGGAUCUUAUCAUGGUAAAAAUUUGAGCUGAUCCUCUAAUUGUUGUGGGUCGUCAUUGGACAUGUCAUCAAAUUGUUUAAAUUUUAUCAUGUAUUGCUGUAAAAAGCAUAUACGGUAGUCCAAGUCCGAUGAUAUGUUUUAGGAAUGGUUGGGAGAUUAUAAAUGUGAAUCUGGGCCUUAGUAUUUAUGAGUUGAGUUCUCCAGAAUGCUAGAUUUAUGAUAAAUAGGAGCAGUAAGCUGUUAAGGUAGAAAAUCGUUCAUUUGCAAUUUGGUGUUGUUUAGAUUAUAAUAUUUAUUCAUUUCUGCUUUUUUCUCCCCUGAAAAUUUUUCCCCUUUUAUCUCAGCACAGAAAGGAAAUUGUUGAUGCAAUCCAUCAUGGACUAAUUGAACUGAAAGCUGACAAGAUGACUACAGGCGGGCAAUUGCGUGCUCCUAGUUAUGCCAUCCAGGUAAGUAAUAGAUAUACAAUCAUGAUAAUGUCAUUCAUGCAAUGCCCCAUUUGGCAUUUGAAUUUACUUUUUACUAGUCAAACAGGUAACUGUUCAAACUGAGUCUGAAAGGCAAAUUGAUAAACUUCGUCGCAAGGAAGAAAGGAAGCAUAGACGUGGAACAAAUAACGGGGUUGAGGGUGAUUUGUCCACUGUGAGUUUUAGUUCUUUGCUUCAUGCGAGUGAGAAGAAAAACAUAUUUGAGGACCUCAUUGGUCAUGGUGAAGGGCCAAACACCUUAGGUCCUACAGCCCUUCCUCAAGGAACUACCAGAAAGCACUACAAAGGAUAUGAAGAAGUCAUUAUCCCUCCAACAUCAACUGCAUCUAUGAUGCCUGGGGAGAGACUGGUAUUUCCCUGUUCUGCCACUAUGUUUUUUCUUUGUUUAUUGCUGCUCUCCCAACUACUUACCUACUUUGGCUUAAUAAUGGACACUUGCUCUCUUUUCUGGUCCUCAUUUUCAUACACACACAAAAAGAAAAAACACUUUUGUUUGUAGUGACAUGGUUGUGAAAAUUAAUCAUCUGGAGGCGAAGUUUGGUUUGAAUGAUGCGUUGCUAGAGUUGGUUACAAAAACGGUUUGUAUAGUAAUUUUCAAACUGCUUUGGUUUUUCCUAUGCCUUCAAUACUUGAUGCUAGUGGCACUUUGUCUUUUCUCAUGUAAAUGAAAAUAUACAGGAAGUAGAUAAGAUGAUUAAUUUCUUUCACAUGUAGCUAGUUUACUAAGAUACAUAUUGUUUGGGUUGUGUUUCUCAUCCAUUUCUUGCUGAGGGCUAAUUCUUAUUAGAAUUUCUGUAAAUUCUUCAAAGAAAAUACUUGAUGCUUGAAUUGUUAUCUAUCCGAUGCUUUAUCUCGGCACGGAAGACAGUCGAAAGCUUGUCAUUUGCUAGAACAGUAGUGGCUUUUUGUGUUUAGUAUUAAAUCUUAACAAGAAAGGUAAAAGUCAUUGGUAAUGUGCUCUUUGAUAGUAGUCUGGCUGGAAUGGAGUUCUGCAACUCUUUAGGAUUAGUAUUGGCGCAGCUUGUGUAAUGUGGUUUUAUGGAAUAGCAAAGGAUGUGCUAUUUUCUCUUUCUAGAUUCUCAUAAUUUCUAUUUGUUCAGCAUUACUUUGCACAAAAAGUGCAGAAAAGCUCUUAACAUUCAAUGACCUUUCAACUUUCCUUCUGUUUUCGAUCUUCUUCACUCUUCAGCUACAGUAUCCACUACUGUUUUAGGUUAGCACAGAGAAGAUGAUGUCCCUUAAUUAUAUCGUGAACUACAGUGCAGGAGAUAAUGGUCUAAUAUCCAUCUUCUUACAUAUGAAGCACAAGUCCUACAAUUCAUUUUCUCAGUUCUGUGAUGUUAGGAUUGCAUCUACGGCUACAUGAUUUGAAGACCACUUCCCUAAUACCGUGAUAUUGUAAAUUUGUCUUGCAUACAGGACUAGCAUCAUUUUUUAUGAGGUAAGGGGUUUCAUUAAAAGGGUGUCAAGAAGAUAAAAGAGUUAUAAAGGAUAUUAUGUUAUUGGGGUAUGCAUCAAUGGGUAUCCAGGUUUGCGCUUGGCUGUUUGAGUUGUAUGGGAGUUGCGUUUUUCUUGGAUGUUUACUUAUGGAGUUUGGACUGUUGAUUUUUGUAUUAGGCACAUGUUUAAGCCAUGUGCUUUUGGAGGUGGUUUCUCUUUGUUAGUGUUUGUGGGUAGUUUGGGUUGUACUUAAAUUUUAGAGGUUAAUAAAGUCUUGCUACUCAUUUGGGCUAGGUUGGUUUGCUUUUGUGUGUGUGGGUUGUACUUGUACAUUUCCUUCUCCAUGCUUUUGGAUUUGGUUUACCUUAAUUUAGUUCCCCUUCUUUAUAUAUAUGCUAACUAGUAAUAUAUAAGAUGAAUUUUUCCGAUGAUAUUUUUGUUUAAUUGACGAAUUAAUGAUGGAGUCAAUUAAAAGAUAGAUCUAUUUAGAAGCAUACUGGUGGGUAAGAAUUUCCGAGUAGAAGUAAGAGAACAUAUCUCUGCAAGUUUAGCAUUCUAAGAGAAGUUGAAGUGAAGUUAGAUUAGACAAGAUUAUGGUGGUGUCUCAAUACAAAUGUACUAGUUAGCAUAUAUUUAAGUAUACCACAUCGGUUGGGAGAACCAGUUUAUGUCUGCUUAUGUAAUCUUGAGCUAUCCUCAUUUUAUUAGCUAGUUUUAGGUGUUGAGUAAGGUCCAAAGUCCAUUUUCUGACAUGGUAUCAAAGUCGAGCCAAUCUCUGACCUUGAUCUACCCAAUUUUGGACCCUAUGUUAUGUGGUCCACGUUUGCGUGCGGGGAUGUUAAAUUGGCCCACAUUGUUUGAGAGAAUAGGUCGAUGUUUCGUCAUAUGAUCUUGGGCAAUUUUCAUCUCAUGUGCCAACUUUUGGGUUGAGUUAAGUUCAAAGUCCAUGUUUGUUAAGUAGAUACAAUGUGUUGUGGUAGAAGAUUUCACUAUAUUAAAAAUGAUUACAUCUGACAAACAGUGCCAGCACAUCCACUGGAUUAAAUGGAAAUUAUUGCCUACUUAUAAGAAAAUGAUUGCUCGAGAUGGUUUAUCAUAUCCAAUUGCGGACCUCCAUAUGCAAUAGAUGAGAUGGACCUAAAAGACCUAGUUGGAUAAAAUGUAAGAACCCGAUUCAAUAUGGGCAAUAUCAACUAUUUUGGAUUACGAUUAUUUGUUGUAGACACCUAAUUAUGUUUGGUGUUUGCCAGGAGUUUCUUUUUUUUUUUUCUUGGUUAGAAACUUUUAUAUUCGUGUAUGGAUCUCUUCGAGAGGUAGAGAACAUUUUAAAGAGAUCCAUACACGAAUAUACAAGUUUCUAACCAAGAAAAAAAAAAGGAACUCCUGGCAAACACCAAACAUAAUUAGGUGUCUACAACAACUAAUUGUAAUCCAAAAUAGUUGAUAUUGCCAUAUUGAGUCGGUUUCUUACAUUUUAUCCAACUAGGUCUUUUAGGUCUAUCUCGUUUAAUUGCAUAUGGAGGUCCGCAAUUGGAUAUAGAGAACAUUUAAUUUUAGCUCAAUUUCAAAAAAAGAACAUUUAAUUUUAGCUAACCGCCUAAACCCCAAUUGCUUGAAACAAGAACCAUCAGUAAGCGUUUGGACACAACUUCUAGCCACAAUAUAUUUGCAAAAAUUAGAAUAGUAUUUUGCAAAUCAGUGUUUGUUUUACUAUUUUGUGCAUUAUUUCAACUUCAACAUGUAAGUAGAGAAUUUGACGUUAAACUUGUUUGAGGAGUAUUUUGAAAUAAUGAUUUUCACCCACUAAAUUUCAAUUGUUUCUCAAGAAAAAUUCAUGUACAGACAUAACUCAGCAUCAAAUCAAAUACCUUUAGAUUUUUUUUUUUUCUUUUAAAGUCAUUGACAUGAGAAAAUGGCAUAAAACUCAUCCACCUUAUUUCUUUGCUAGGCAGAUGUAGAUACCAGGAUGCACUGUUCAUUUGCUGUAAUCUCAUAGUUAUUUUGCAUGAAUGGCAGCUCAUUCUCCUCUUUGUAGUCUCUCUCUCACUCUCUCCAAUAAAUUAUAUUUUCUACAGAAUUCUGUUAACUUAAAUAUAAAUAUCUUUUGAUUGAUCCAGUUUACGCUAUGCUAUUUAUGUCAUCUUCAGUCUCAUAUAAUCUUUAUUUCCUAUUAUGUAUAUUUUUUGUUUUGUUUAAAAAGGAGAGGGAUGGGGCGAGGAAACGGGAAAAUAAGUCCCAAUGUGAUUUUAUAAACAUGUCAAUCAAGUGUAUGACAUUUCUUAUAAAUUUCGGGGAUCUAUCAGAAACAACCUCUCUACAUCAUCUGAGGUAGUGGUAUGGGCUGCGUACAUUUUAUCCCCCAUCCCCCUCAGACCCCACUUUGUGGGAAUACACUGGGUAUGUUGUUGUUUGUUGUAAAUUCUGUCUCCACAUCUUUGCUGUUUCUCAGGUGAUAAUGUUAUGAAAACUUGCUUCUGAUGAAUCUUCAGUGGUUUCACCAAAACUUUCUUAAUUUGACUGAUAGUUUUGCUUUCUUGGUUUUCUUAUCAGAUUGAGAUAAAGGAGCUAGACGAUUUUGCUCAAGCAGCUUUCCAUGGCUACAAGAGUCUCAACCGUAUUCAGAGCAGAAUUUACCAUACUACUUAUAAUAGCAAUGAAAACAUACUAGUGAGUAACCUUCUCCUUUCGUUUAAAAAAAGGGUAGCCCACUACACAAAGCGUCCUGCAUUAGUAGGGUCCCGGAGAAGGGUUGCACUCCUAGGGUGUGAUGUAGACAGUCUACCCUAAGGGGUGGUGUAUGUUAAUACCCUUUCUUUCAGUUAUGAUGUAUACUAUUUUCUUAUGGAGAUAAGUUUUGAUCCGUCUUUGACAGCUUUCAUUUCAUCUAUUACCAGGUAUGUGCUCCCACUGGGGCUGGGAAAACAAACAUUGCUAUGAUUGCUAUUUUACAUGAGGUGUGCUCUAUCUUUCUUUUAGAGCAUGUUCCUUGCUGGGACUUCUGGCACUUUGAUGAAGUUACGUAACCUUCUUCUCUUACGCAGAUCAAACAUCACUUUAGAGAUGGUUACUUACAUAAGGAUGAAUUCAAGAUAAUCUAUGUUGCUCCUAUGAAGGUAUUUUUUGGGAGUUGUGUACUUGUGUCCUUCAAUUUAUUUCAGAUAAUUGGAGAUAUGAGGUAAUUGCUUCUCUAGGCAUUAGCUGCAGAGGUCACAUCAACUUUCAGUCGCCGAUUGUCUCCACUUAAUGUAACUGUGCGGGAACUUACUGGAGACAUGCAGCUUUCUAAGAAUGAGCUCGAGGAAACGCAGGUUCUGUCAAACUUCAGCUCUUGUAAAGUUGCUGAUUAUUUACUUAUUGGCUUUCUGUUUGGAUAAUGGCCUAGUUGACUGGUUUGUUGAUUGGCUACACUCUGAUGGUGUCUGGUUAUAUUUCUUCAGAUGAUAGUGACAACACCUGAAAAGUGGGAUGUUAUUACUCGUAAAAGCAGUGAUAUGUCACUCUCAAUGCUGGUCAAGCUACUUAUCAUUGAUGAAGUCCAUUUGCUAAAUGAUGAUAGAGGUCCUGUGAUAGAAGCGUUAGUAGCCCGUACACUUCGUCAGGUUAGCAAAUGCUGUUUUACUUGAUUAGUGUCUACCAUAGAAAUUUCAGUAGUGUUUAUGUAUGAUAUGUUGCCUCUGUGCACUAAUUGCUGCCGCAAUCCUCUCCUACUGUUUCACUUCUCCAAUAAGUGCCUAAAAUUGAAAGAUGAAGCAUGCAUGCUUUUUUUAAAUUCAAGUAAAAAGUUUUUAAAUUCUGGGCAAAAUUGAAAGAUGAAACAUUUUAUUGGCAUUUAGAACAGAAUAAUACAAUGUUGGCAAAAGACAUUUUAGAGCUUUCCAUUUUUAAAACCAUAGGAGUAUGAGGUACAUUAAGGUUAUGAAAAUGCUGUGAGACGUAGGUUUAAGUCAUGAAUCUAGUGUAACAUCGAAAUAUAAACUUGGCAGCAAGACCUGUUGACCUACUAUGAGUAUUUAGGUUAUGAACUUGAUUGUGAUAUCAUCUCAUCUAGUGCUAUGGUGGAGGUGACUCCAUUUUCAUGUGUUAAUGGUUUGGUUUGAAUUUUGGUUCGUGUGCUUUGGCAGGUGGAGUCCACACAGUCUAUGAUAAGGAUAGUGGGCCUUUCAGCUACUUUACCUAACUACUUGGAGGUUGGUUCUGGAGUUAAAAAUUUUCGUUUAGAAGUCUUUACCCCAUAUUGGACAUUGAGCUGUACAGAGUGAUGAAGCUCCAAUAUUUUGGUACAUCCUUUUUGGAUAUAGCUUUUUGUCAUGGCUAUUCCCUUUGUGAAAUCCAGGUUGCACAGUUUCUAAGGGUGAAUUCAGAGACAGGCUUAUUUUUCUUCGGUUCGAGCUACCGCCCAGUACCUCUUGCGCAGCAGUAUAUUGGUAUUAGUGAGCAUAACUUUUUAGCCCGUAAUGAUCUGCUUAAUGAGAUAUGUUACAAUAAGGUGUCUUUCUUCAAAACCUUUCUCUUUGCUAUUUCGCACUCGCCCAAAAAAAUUCUAGUUUGACUCUUCACCUAUGCAGGUUGUUGAUUCCUUAAAACAAGGGCAUCAGGCUAUGGUUUUUGUCCAUUCACGUAAGGACACAGUGAAAACUGCUGAUAAGCUGGUAGGUUUUUUCAUCAGGCUAUGGUUUAACGCACAGUUAAUCAUUUUACUUUGUAGUUCCACUCUUGUUGUUGCAUUUUGUUUGUCUUGCUUUCCUCUUAGUCCAACUCAAUUUUCUUUUUUCACUUUGAUUUACUGAAGUCUUUCUCUUCAGUAUUCAUUUCUUUUCUGAAUGUUAUGUAAUUCACUAUCUAUAUAAAUUUUCUUCACUAUUUAUUCCUUAUAAAAUCUAUGUUAUACUUGUUUAAAUCCAUUAAAAAUUGGAAACUUGUCUAAAAGCAAUUUGUAAUUCUUAUCUUGCACCAAUUUUUAUUUGACUUACAACUCCAUCCAUCUCUAUUGCAUAUCUUGCACUUUUUAUUGUCAUGUUUAUUAUUUAGGAACGAACUUGAAAGAUGGUUGGGUUCCAUAACUUCCACAAUUUAUGCUCAUCUUUCCUUUAUGAUAGUGGUGGUUAUUUUCGAGAUUUCACCAAGAAGAUGGAAAUUCAGCAUUCAAGUUCUUCCACGACUUUCUGUAUUAUGAAUUUUAACUUCCAUAACCUCGUGCGGGACAACCUCUACCUCUUUAUAAAUUAGGUUUAUCCUGCAUAACUAGUCAAACAAAGACUAUAAAAUGUGCCACAUCUUUGUUGAUGAAGUGCUAUGAGUGGUAACUGUCAAUUUAGAUGGGCGAUCUUCCAGCGAGGGGAAAACUGUUCUCUCUAUCGUGAUAGAAGUUGGAAAAGUAUCUUUCUAGAUGCUAACAGUAUUUGUCUAGUUCAAAGAAACGAUAUUCUUGUCAAAGUAAUGAACUUUGCACUAAAGCAUACUGCUGCCUCGAGGCAUUUUCAGAUUCUUGCAGAGGCAACCCAAAUUUGGAGUCAGUCCAUGUCUUAAUAAAUCAUGGAUGUUCUGUGAAAUCCUUUCUGCGGUUCUCUGCUAGAGAUAGGUGAUCAAUGUUGGGGUGAGUUCACAUUUAGGACUGCACAGUGGCUUUUGAUAAAAAAUCCUGGGAAUGGCUUAAAAAAGUUUUCUUUAGCUCUACUGAUAACUAACAAGGCAGAAUCCGCAGUUGAGAGAUUUUUGCAACUAUAGCAUGCCCGUAACUGAGAGGGUGGUGGGAUCCGUAGAGUUAGAAAUUCUAAAGAAUUAUAAAGGAAGAGGGGUUGCGAAUGAUUUUCUUGAUUAUUCCCUCAAGCAUGUUGGAAUUUAUUCCGCACUUUGUGUUUACAAGGUAAUCCUAUAAAGGAAAGGAAAUUAUAGAAGUGAUCUUAAAAAGGAAAUAAAGUAAUUCAUAUUCCUAUUUACACAAUCAUGGGGGUUUCUUAACCAUUCCCAUAUAUAUAUAAGAGAUGGAUUUUGUAGUGCUAAUAAUUUCCUAAUAUAUAACUGAGACCAUGUUCUUUCUAUCCAUAGUUAGACUCUGUGUGUGUAUAUAUAUGUAUUAUUUUUUAAUUUUUUUGAUAAGAUAAAUGUAUUUCAUUCAUAACAUGGCCUAGUUGGCCGUAUACAAGGGAUAAAACCAAAAAGUAAAGAAUCUACUAAAUCUGAUUCGCUACAAAAUCCACCCAUUCUUGUAUACAACAAGGAAUCAUAUGGGUUCACCAAAAGAAAAUAAGGGACCGGAGGCUAUUUCUCGCCUGAAAAAAAACUUAAGACUCUACCACCUCAAAAGCUUUCCUAUUUCUCUCUCUCCAAAUAACCCACAUCAACUCCAGAGGGACCAAAUUUCAUGCCUUACGUCUUCUCCUCCUUUUUUGCUUCUCCAACAAAGCAUCAACUUUUUCAUAGUAUUUGGUAUUACCUAAGUAACGCCAAAUCACUGAGGCAUGUCCCACCAUUAUUUUAUGGUAAAGACACAAUAAAUGAACCAUAAGGGUUGUGUGGCGAUUCAGAACCUCACCCCUUAAGCAAGAGGCUGGGGUUCGAUCCCCACUUCUGGUAAAUGGAAAAAACUCUGUGGCUAGUUCUCUACCGCUUAGUGCGCUAACCGUAGGAACAGAGGAUUAGUCUCACGGCUGCCGACUGUGGGGAUACCUUGGGAAACCAAAAAAAAAAAAAAAAGACACAAUGAAUGAGAAGAUGGUCCACUUCCUCCCCCUCUCUCCUCACACAAACAACCUUCCCUUUUCUAAGAUUUUCCGCCAUCACAUCACCCCUCUAGUUGCUACCCAAGAGAAAAAAAUACACCUUCCUCUGCCUCCCUGAUUAGAAGUUUCUCAUAGAAUGAUGUAACAGAGAAAACUCCAUUAUUCCCCAAAACC